rnacentral:rRNA from 1 species
UACGAAGGGGGCUAGCGUUGUUCGAAAUUACUGGGCGUAAAGCGCACGUAGGCGGAUCCUUAAGUCAGGGGUGAAAUCCCGAGGCUCAACCUCGGAACUGCCUUUGAUACUGGGGAUCUCGAGUCCGGGAGAGGUGAGUGGAACUGCGAGUGUAGAGGUGAAAUUCGUAGAUAUUCGCAAGAACACCAGUGGCGAAGGCGGCUCACUGGCCCGGAACUGACGCUGAGGUGCGAAAGCGUGGGGAGCAACAGGG